rnacentral:rRNA from 1 species
UUCCUACGGGAGGCAGCAGUGGGGAAUAUUGCACAAUGGGCGCAAGCCUGAUGCAGCCAUGCCGCGUGUAUGAAGAAGGCCUUCGGGUUGUAAAGUACUUUCAGCGGGGAGGAAGGCGACAGGGUUAAUAACCCUGUCGAUUGACGUUACCCGCAGAAGAAGCACCGGCUAACUCCGUGCCAGCAGCCGCGGCAAUACGGAGGGUGCAAGCGUUAAUCGGAAUUACUGGGCGUAAAGCGCACGCAGGCGGUCUGUCAAGUCGGAUGUGAAAUCCCCGGGCUCAACCUGGGAACUGCAUUCGAAACUGGCAGGCUAGAGUCUUGUAGAGGGGGGUAGAAUUCCAGGUGUAGCGGUGAAAUGCGUAGAGAUCUGGAGGAAUACCGGUGGCGAAGGCGGCCCCCUGGACAAAGACUGACGCUCAGGUGCGAAAGCGUGGGGAGCAAACAGGAUUAGAUACCCUGGUAGUCCACGCCGUAAACGAUGUCGACUUGGAGGUUGUGCCCUUGAGGCGUGGCUUCCGGAGCUAACGCGUUAAGUCGACCGCCUGGGGAGUACGGCCGCAAGGUUAAAACUCAAAUGAAUUGACGG